rnacentral:rRNA from 1 species
UACAGAGGGGGCAAGCGUUGUUCGGAAUUACUGGGCGUAAAGGGCGCGUAGGCGGCCCGCUAAGUCGAACGUGAAAUCCCCAGGCUCAACCUGGGAACUGCGUCCGAUACUGGCAGGCUUGAAUCCGGGAGAGGGAUGCGGAAUUCCAGGUGUAGCGGUGAAAUGCGUAGAUAUCUGGAGGAACACCGGUGGCGAAGGCGGCAUCCUGGACCGGCAUUGACGCUGAGGCGCGAAAGCCAGGGGAGCGAACGGG